UGGGGAAUUUUGGACAAUGGGGGAAACCCUGAUCCAGCCAUCCCGCGUGUGCGAUGAAGGCCUUCGGGUUGUAAAGCACUUUUGGCAGGAAAGAAACGUCGCGGGUUAAUACCCCGCGGAACUGACGGUACCUGCAGAAUAAGCACCGGCUAACUACGUGCCAGCAGCCGCGGUAAUACGUAGGGUGCAAGCGUUAAUCGGAAUUACUGGGCGUAAAGCGUGCGCAGGCGGUUCGGAAAGAAAGAUGUGAAAUCCCAGAGNUUAACUUUGGGAACUGCAUUUUUUAACUACCGGGCUAGAGUNUGUCAGAGGGAGGUGGAAUUCCGCGUGUAGCAGUGAAAUGCGUAGAUAUGCGGAGGAACACCGAUGGCGAAGGCAGCCUCCUGGGAUAACACUGACGCUCAUGCACGAAAGCGUGGGGAGCAAACAGGAUUAGAUACCCUGGUAGUCCACGCCCUAAACGAUGUCAACUAGCUGUUGGGGUCUUCGGACCUUGGUAGCGCAGCUAACGCGUGAAGUUGACCGCCUGGGGAGUACGGUCGCAAGAUUAAAACUU
rnacentral:rRNA from 1 species